UUAUACUCCUUCACUGCCUGCUCUGUCUGGAGGACCCGCACAUCAAUGCCAUGUUUCUUGAGGUACUCCACAGUUGAUGAAGGCACCUGGGAAGGUGGAAAAGAGAUGAAUGGAGUCUCGCUCUCUCACCCAGAGCUCACAUUCUAGUAAAAUGAAACAAGGCCACUGACUGCUGGAAAUCCAAGUGUAAGGUCAUAGGAGACUGCAGACCCAUAAUCCUCUGGAGAUUAGACUAGAGACAGCCACAGCCCAUUGGAGUGGCUGGAUCAAUGGAACUCAAGUGAUGAAUUGGGCUGCUGCUGCUUUACUGAAGGCUCACAGUGUCAUGUACAAAGCAAUGAAAGAUAACUGCAAAGGCCUGUGGAUCCAAGCAUUGGCAGUGAUUACUCACAAUUUUGUGCAGAGGCCUGGGAUUGGAGCAUGAGACUGUUAUUGAGGCAUCCUCAACCUGCCACUAGCAAUUCCUGUGCUGUUUCCAAUCCCUCAGGGCAAAUGACUAGGCUCUUGUUCCUAUUGAGUGUCUGAUUCUGUUCCUCUACUUUAAGAGGCUUUCUGUCACACGACCUAAAGUGGUAAAAGCUUACUGUUUUUUCUGUGGGAGAAGCUAUUAAUUAUGGAAAAAUGUCCAGCUAAUAUCCAUUAUGCUGGCUAAGCAACAAGAUGGCAUCCUAUCUGUCUUGAACGUUUCUCCCUAUUUCAUGUUAACUUUAAAAAGAAAACAUUCCUAAACUACACUUCCAAAGAAGUAUUUCCUUCUGCCAAAAUUAAGUGAGCACAAAUGGGUAGUAGCAAUGCUAUCAUCUUGCUGUAUUGCUGAUAAAAGCAGAUUCUGUGAGUGAAGGUUAAAGGAUCUCUGGAAUCUAUCCCCUGUGGACGCUGCCUGAGUCACACUGUCAUUAUUGCUUGUCUGAAUUAACAGGCUCUUAAAUAAUCUUGCUGCCUCUGCCAGGGCAGAGGCCUGUUUUUGUGCUACAGGCCCCUCUGGCAAUCUAUUGAGGCCGAUGGUCCCCUUCUCAGAAUAAUGUUUUAGAAUAUACAAAAGAAGAUAUGUAAGAUUAUAGAGGAAACAUUUCUUACAAGUGGAAUUAUCAAAAUAUUAACAAACUUUUGGUCUAGUAUUAUAUGUUUCUUUAUUAGUUUAGGACAAUGGAAAUCUUUUCCAAAAGUCUGCUAGCCAACUUACCCUCCCAUCUCAUAAUGGCAGAUGACUAGUUUUUCUUUCAAAAUCUAUUCUGCCUAUUUUCUGGGGCACAUAGCUGAUAAGCUAGACACUCCGUUUUCUGUCCUUCUUGCAGUUAAGUGUGGUCAUGUGACUGUGCUGUCCCUAAUAUAAAAUUCAAUGGAAUGUGAGCAGAAGAAACGAUUUCAUAUCUAGGUUUGGCAUGAGCUUUUCUUCUCUUUCCUCUUCCUUGCAAGUUAGAGCCCUGCCAUGCCCAGAACUGGUUCCUACAAUUCAAAUGUUCUAGGAGAUGGUAGAGCAAUAAAAAGGAAAAAACCAA